ACUUCCACCGGGAACCCGAGGUGAAAAUCGGUUCUCAUCCCGCUCCCCGGGCUCAGGAAGUGGAUCUUCGGUGGUGGCGCCGGAAAUACACUGUCUGCAGGGGCACGGUUUCCGUCUGCAUGGCCGUCAGUGCUGUAGCCGCCACUCCUAUCUCCGGUGAGCUCUCUCCUUCUCUCUUCUUCCUCUCCAAUGGCAUCAUGAUGGACAGCUCGUCGAGGCAGGCCGUGGCGAAGGGGUGCGACAGCACGCUGCGGCGCGUGUCGAGCACCUUGUUGAAAUGGCGCACGGCCUCGCCGGGGAGGCCGGCGUCCAGCGCCGCCACCGCGGCGGCGGCGGAGGAGCUUCACGUGCGGCAGCAGCUGCGACACGGACUCCGCCCUUGUAUUGGCGGGCGCCAGCAGGUUCGACGGGGGCAAGAAGCGGCGGUUGGGCAUGUGGUGGCGGAGCGAGUGGAGGUCCCCGCCGGGGCAGAACUCCGUGACGACGCAGGAGAAGUGCGGCGCAGCGUCGAAGUCGGCGAAGAGCGUGGGCAGGACUUUUAUUUAGAUUUCGGUUCCGAGCUGCUGCUGCUAGUGCGUGAGCCAUCGGUCGAUAAUUUCCGGAACAGAACACCUCUUGUGCCUGUUCGAGAAGUUCUGACGGGACUCUACUCCACGUGGCUCUUCCGUGCCCAUAAAAUUAGUGGAGUCUAGAUUCGAUCUGGACACCGCGUUGAAUCGGUGGUGGAUGUAAUGAAAGAAGGCCGCCCAAUGCCGCGUGAGCUGAACGGAGCCAGACGAGCAGGAUGAGGAGGACGAGGCGGUGGUGGCGUCGUCGGCCGAGCACGACUUGGCGCAGUAGCUGGGGAUGUAGUCGCAGAGCAUGUCGGCGACGUCACGGUUGCGCGAGGAGAGCCCGCGCCCGGAGCUCCAGCGCCGCGCGAGUAGCUGACUCGUACGACGCCGCGCGAGCAGCUGUCGUAGCUGCAGCAGAAGCUCAUUCGGCGACCAUCAUACACAAGCAGCCGCUCCUCCUUUGCCUGGAAGAAUGCUCGGAGUGGUACAAGGUUCGGAUGGCGCAGUCGGCCAACAACAUCCAUGUUCUGCUCGAACGCCUCUGCUUCCCGUGCUGCUGGGCCAAUCUCGGCGGCGUCCAGCCUCUUCAUCGCAAUCAUGGCGUAGACAAGAAGCGCGGCGAGGACAGACCCGGCAGCGACCGCGACGGCCAAUUUGGUCAUCCUCCGCCUCGCUCUCUUCGCAUUUGGCACGGACGAAUCCGGCACGCUCAGGUUCUCCUGCUGCGGCCCGCUGUCGCUAGCAGCAGCGUCUGCACAGGGGGAGUGGCGGUACCGUUCGCGCCGCCCCCGUGGAAGAAGAGGAGGUGGGAGCCGCGGCGGACCACUUCGUCGCAAAGGUUGGCGUCGAGACGGAGGAGGGUGAGGUGCAGGAAGGCGGCCUCGAGCGGAGAAUCGAGAAGGUGUUGUUUGACUGCGUCCUCUUCUUCGUCCGGCUGGAAGGGGUGCUCGGUGUCGGCGUCGGCGGGGCAGGGCGGUAGCGGUGGAACUGCGACCCGAGCAGUAACGGCGCUGAAGACGGGAACGGUGGCUGCCCUGACUGAUCCUCACGGUGGAGGAUUAAUCACUGUCGAACGCGUCUAAGAGAGAGCUCAAGUCCAUAUCGGCGUAUGUGCGUUGUGUGAAUCUCUAAAUCAUCCAAGACCUCGUCUACGCCUCUAUUUCGUUGAAGCCGAACUUGUCGCGUUUUACAAUGGCAAAAGUCUCCGCCAAACAUGGUUUCCGUGGCCUCUGUUCUCCAUCGUUUUCUUUCAUUAAUCCGUGAAUCUCAAUUCUCACUCGUGAUCCACCGAGAGCGAGAGCGUUGUAAAGAUAGGUUGGAACGGUAACAUGAGGCCAGUGUGACAAAGCCCGUCAAUCUUGUCCCCCACGGGCCACGACAGACCCUUCCUGAAGCCCAAUCGGCCCGCACGCAAAAAACCCUCACGCGUAUUAAGCCAUCCCCCUCACCACCUAGGGUUUCCUUUUACAGCCGCCGCCGACGCCGCCGCCGACACCGACGCAUCUCUCAGCCUCCCCGCACUCGCUUCCGUCGCCGCAGCCGCCACUUCGCAGCCAUGGGUAAGGUGCACGGAUCGCUGGCCCGCGCCGGGAAGGUCCGCGGGCAGACGCCCAAGGUGGCGAAGCAGGACAAGAAGAAGAAGCCCCGCGGCCGCGCGUACAAGAGGAUGCAGUACAACCGCCGCUUCGUCACCGCCGUCGUCGGCUUCGGCAAGAAGCGCGGGCCCAACUCGUCCGAGAAGUAGGCGCGACGCCGUUGGGCUCGCAUGCCUAUGCCUAUGCUCUUGCUCUUCCUGGUAGUAGUUUUCGUUGUGCAAGCAGAAGAAGAUCUUUUUUUGUUGUUGUUCCAGUCUCAGUUUCGUGCGGUGAGAUGAGAGCUUGAGAUUAUAUGUCAACCUCCUUAUUAAUCGAGGAUGAAUUUUUGAGAUAUGAUGAUACGUGGCAAUGACUUCUUGCCCCUUUUUGCAUUCUUUGUGAAAUGUUAUGCAAAUAGGUGGGUUAAAUCA